rnacentral:snRNA from 11 species
AGCUUUGCGCAGUGGCAGUAUCGUAGCCAAUGAGGUUUAUCCGAGGCGCGAUUAUUGCUAAUUGAAAGUGAACUUAUGGAGAGCUAAACAAUGGU